rnacentral:rRNA from 1 species
GCCUUGGCCGAGCGGUCCACUAUUUAGUCGGUACUGCUCCGGUCUCGGCUCACCUUCUGGCGAGCCAUCAUGUCCUUCACUGGAUGUGGUGGGGAACCAGGACUUUUACUUUGAAAAAAUUAGAGUGUUUAAAGCAGGCAUUUGCUUGAAUAGAUUAGCAUGGAAUAAUGGAAUAGGACCUUGGUUCUAUUUUGUUGGUUUCUAGGACCUCGGUA